rnacentral:rRNA from 1 species
GGGUGAGUAACGCGUGAGGAACCUGCCUCAAAGAGGGGGACAACAGUUGGAAACGACUGCUAAUACCGCAUAAGCCCACAGGUCGGCAUCGACCAGAGGGAAAAGGAGCAAUCCGCUUUGAGAUGGCCUCGCGUCCGAUUAGCUAGCUGGUGAGGUAAUGGCCCACCAAGGCAACGAUCGGUAGCCGGACUGAGAGGUUGAACGGCCACAUUGGGACUGAGACACGGCCCAGACUCCUACGGGAGGCAGCAGUGGGGAAUAUUGCACAAUGGGGGAAACCCUGAUGCAGCGACGCCGCGUGGAGGAAGAAGGUCUUCGGAUUGUAAACUCCUGUUGUUGAGGAAGAUAAUGACGGUACUCAACAAGGAAGUGACGGCUAACUACGUGCCAGCAGCCGCGGUAAAACGUAGGCCACAAGCGUUGUCCGGAAUUACUGGGUGUAAAGGGAGCGCAGGCGGGAAGACAAGUUGGAAGUGAAAUCUAUGGGCUCAACCCAUAAACUGCUUUCAAAACUGUUUUUCUUGAGUAGUGCAGAGGUAGGCGGAAUUCCCGGUGUAGCGGUGGAAUGCGUAGAUAUCGGGAGGAACACCAGUGGCGAAGGCGGCCUACUGGGCACCAACUGACGCUGAGGCUCGAAAGUGUGGGUAGCAAACAGGAUUAGAUACCCUGGUAGUCCACACCGUAAACGAUGAUUACUAGGUGUUGGAGGAUUGACCCCUUCAGUGCCGCAG